CACAGACGUGCCGGCGCCAAACGCCACUAGGUGGUAGUGGUGUCUCCUGGAAUCCGGGCUCUACGGCUGCUUAGACACGUCCUCGUUCUCAUGAUGUGGAUAGUUUUAUGGUGCUUCAGGACAUGAUUGCCUGUUUCCGAAAGUAUAAAAAUCAGAUCAUUUUAGAAGGUGCCAUUACGGGCCAUCACAUCCUGAGAAAGAGAAAGCCAUGUUUAUACAUACCACCUCUACUGAUGAAAAUAUUUCUCACUUCUAAUAUAUCCAUGAAAUAUACUUUCGAAAGUGCUCGGGUUAUAGGGUUUUAUUCAUUUCUAUCAAGACUUCUUGAGCCUACGUAUUUUUCUAUCAUGAAUAGACGAAACUCGUAUUACUCAACAUUGUGCAUAAGGUUUCAAAUCAGCAAGAAACAAGCUCUAGACAAAGAUUCUUGAAAGUGUUGGGGACGGGUCAAUGCCCUCGGUACGUGUCGAAGGUCAUGUUUGUUUACUUCCGCCGCCAUAUGGAAGUCCAUACUACUACUGCCCCUUCAACGAAAAACAACAACUUUAUUUUUAAUUAAAAUAAUUUUUAUAAAAGCAAACAUAGA